AGUGAACGCUGGCGGUAGGCCUAACACAUGCAAGUCGAACGGCAGCACAGUAAGAGCUUGCUCUUACGGGUGGCGAGUGGCGGACGGGUGAGGAAUACAUCGGAAUCUACUUUUUCGUGGGGGAUAACGUAGGGAAACUUACGCUAAUACCGCAUACGACCUACGGGUGAAAGCAGAGGAUCUUCGGACCUUGCGCGAUUGAAUGAGCCGAUGUCGGAUUAGCUAGUUGGCGGGGUAAAGGCCCACCAAGGCGACGAUCCGUAGCUGGUCUGAGAGGAUGAUCAGCCACACUGGAACUGAGACACGGUCCGGACUCCUACGGGAGGCAGCAGUGGGGAAUAUUGGACAAUGGGCGCAAGCCUGAUCCAGCCAUACCGCGUGGGUGAAGAAGGCCUUCGGGUUGUAAAGCCCCUUUGUUGGGAAAGAAAAGCAGCAGGUUAAUACCCCGCUGUUCUGACGGUACCCAAAGAAUAAGCACCGGCUAACUUCGUG
rnacentral:rRNA from 1 species